UGUGACUGCAGGCUGACGGUCAGACUCGGCGGGUUACAGGCAAGAAGAAGGAUGACUUGUGUGAGUGCGCGGUGGAUUCAAACCUGUGGUCGUUCCCGGCUGUGAAGUACGAGGCUGUGCUGCAGAAGGUCCAGUCCUGUGAAGUAUCUCUGAACUCUCUGCAGGAACAGGUGAACUUGUCCAGCCAGCGUCUCCCUGAGAUGCAGGCUCUGGUUCAAAACCUGACGGCCAGGCUGGAGCCUCACCAGUACCUGCAUGACCGAGGCCUGUACUCAUCUUUGCCACUGCGCCUGCUGGUCGAAGAGCUCAGUCAGCUGGAGACAAACGUUGGUACCAUCAACAGCCAGCUAAACAACGCCCAAACACAGAAACUCUCCAGAGAGGUGGGUAAACUGCAUACAGAUGUGGACAGGAUGAAAAUGUCAGACACCAUUAACCUGAAGACUAUCAAAGAGAAACUUCGCUACCUGAAGAACAGCGCCGAGUCCUGCAAGUCGAUCCCCAAACCCUA